rnacentral:rRNA from 1 species
CCUACGGGUGGCUGCAGUGGGGAAUAUUGGGCAAUGGGCGCAAGCCUGACCCAGCAACGCCGCGUGAAGGAAGAAGGCUUUCGGGUUGUAAACUUCUUUUCUCAGGGACGAAGCAAGUGAUGGUACCUGAGGAAUAAGCCACGGCUAACUACGUGCCAGCAGCCGCGGUAAUACGUAGGUGGCCAGCGUUAUGCGGAUUUACUGGGUGAAAAGGGCGUGUAGGCGGGGACGCAAGUCUGUUGUGAAAACCACGGGCUCAACCUGUGGCCUGCAGUUGAAACUGUGUUUCUUGAGUACUGGAGAGGCAGACGGAAUUCCUAGUGUAGCGGUGAAAUGCGUAGAUAUUAGGAGGAACACCAGUGGCGAAGGCGGUCUGCUGGACAGCAACUGACGCUGAGGCGCGAAAGCGUGGGGAGCAAACAGGAUUAGAUACCCUAGUAGUC